rnacentral:rRNA from 1 species
GACGAACGCUGGCGGCGUGCUUAACACAUGCAAGUCGAACGGAAAGGCCCUGCUUUUGUGGGGUGCUCGAGUGGCGAACGGGUGAGUAACACGUGAGUAACCUGCCCUUGACUUUGGGAUAACUCCAGGAAACUGGGGCUAAUACCGGAUAGGAGCUCCUGCUGCAUGGUGGGGGUUGGAAAGUUUCGGCGGUUGGGGAUGGACUCGCGGCUUAUCAGCUUGUUGGUGGGGUAGGGGCUUACCAAGGCUUUGACGGGUAGCCGGCCUGAGAGGGUGACCGGCCACAUUGGGACUGAGAUACGGCCCAGACUCCUACGGGAGGCAGCAGUGGGGAAUAUUGCACAAUGGGCGGAAGCCUGAUGCAGCAACGCCGCGUGCGGGAUGACGGCCUUCGGGUUGUAAACCGCUUUCGCCUGUGACGAAGCGUGAGUGACGGUAAUGGGUAAAGAAGCACCGGCUAACUACGUG